rnacentral:rRNA from 1 species
CGAUUCUAGCUCAGGAUGAACGCUAGCUACAGGCUUAACACAUGCAAGUCGAGGGGCAGCAUUGGAGUAGCAAUACUCAGAUGGCGACCGGCGCACGGGUGAGUAACACGUAUCCAACCUGCCGCUUACUCGGGGAUAGCCUUUCGAAAGAAAGAUUAAUACCCGAUGGUAUAAAGAGUUCGCAUGUUCUCUUUAUUAAAGAAUUUCGGUAAGCGAUGGGGAUGCGUUCCAUUAGAUAGUUGGCGGGGUAACGGCCCACCAAGUCUACGAUGGAUAGGGGUUCUGAGAGGAAGGUCCCCCACAUUGGAACUGAGACACGGUCCAAACUCCUACGGGAGGCAGCAGUGAGGAAUAUUGGUCAAUGGACGAGAGUCUGAACCAGCCAAGUAGCGUGAAGGAUGACUGCCCUAUGGGUUGUAAACUUCUUUUAUAAGGGAAUAAAGUGAGGGACGUGUCCCUUUUUGUAUGUACCUUAUGAAUAAGGAUCGGCUAACUCCGUGCCAGCCGCUGC